rnacentral:rRNA from 1 species
AUGUCUGGGGAAGACCUAUCCUCGACCUUUGAGGUAGAAUCUAGAGGCAGAGGCCAAGAGUCAAUCUCGGCCGAACCUUCCUUUCACAAUGCUCGCCUGGCCUUGAGCCCUUACGACAAAGCGGCAGCUAACAGCCAGGGGUCACCCCCAGCCCAAGGCAACUCGAUCUCGAACCCCGACGGGGGAGCCACAAGCAAGGACGAAAGCCCAUCCUUGACCUCCAGUGACGGCCCUGCACCCCUCAAGGAUUCGUCUCUGCACCCCGAGAUCAGCACGGCCAGUGGAAAUCAAGGACCGGCCAGGGCAUUGAUCGCCCCCCACACCAUUACAAUAGAGUUCGGCUCGGAGCCCUCGAGCUCGGCGACCCUUGCUAGGGUAGACGAGGCGCUAGACCUAAUUCAGAAAAUUACCAUCCAGGAGGACCUGCCCUCUGCCUUCAAUCAUCAAUCCUUCGAGGCGUACGAUAGGGAAUUUUGCGUCCCACCCACCACCCAUUUGGUAACCACUAUCAAUGAUUUAACUGAUAUACUAGACUAUAAUUCAAAGAAUGUCGAAUAUAUGGACGAGGAGGAUGUAGCCAAGGCCAAUGCGGAGGUCGCCCCCACCCCUGAUAUGUCCAUUUUGCAUCAUGCUUUUAUAUCGAUAUUUAUUGCAAUAUGGGCUAUUACUACACAUUAUGUCACAAUACUUAUGCCUUUUCUCUCUUAUUUUACAAGGUUUACAUGA